rnacentral:misc_RNA from 1 species
GAUGAAGAACGCAGCGAAAUGCGAUAAGUAAUGUGAAUUGCAGAAUUCCGUGAAUCAUCGAAUCUUUGAACGCACAUUGCGCCCCCUGGUAUUCCGGGGGGCAUGCCUGUCCGAGCGUCAUUGCAACCUUCAAGCGCGGCUUGUGUGUUGGGUCUCGUCCCCCGUGGACGGGCCCGAAAGGCAGUGGCGGCGUCCGACAUGGUGCCCGAGCGUAUGGGGCUUCGUCACCCGCUCUUGUAGGCCCGGCCGGCGCUUGCCGACACAUCAAUCUUUUUUCCAGGUUGACCUCGGAUCAGGUAGGGAUACCCGCUGAACUUAAGCAUAUCAAUAAGCGGAGGA